AUUGAACGCUGGCGGCAGGCCUAACACAUGCCAGUCGAACGGUAACAGGAGGAAGCUUGCUUCUUUGCUGACGAGUGGCGGACGGGUGAGUAAUGUCUGGGAAACUGCCUGAUGGAGGGGGAUAACUACUGGAAACGGUAGCUAAUACCGCAUAACGUCGCAAGACCAAAGAGGGGGACCUUCGGGCCUCUUGCCAUCGGAUGUGCCCAGAUGGGAUUAGCUAGUAGGUGGGGUAACGGCUCACCUAGGCGACGAUCCCUAGCUGGUCUGAGAGGAUGACCAGCCACACUGGAACUGAGACACGGUCCAGACUCCUACGGGAGGCAGCAGUGGGGAAUAUUGCACAAUGGGCGCAAGCCUGAUGCAGCCAUGCCGCGUGUAUGAAGAAGGCCUUCGGGUCGUAAAGUACUUUCAGCGGGGAGGAAGGGAGUAAAGUUAAUACCUUUGCUCAUUGACGUUACCCGCAGAAGAAGCACCGGCUAACUCCGUG
rnacentral:rRNA from 1 species